GAAGUCCGCUAGGCAGCCGCUGGGCGCGCAAGCGUCUGGAGGAAAGUCCGGGCCCCGCAGGGCAGGAUGCCGGCUAACGGCCGGGCGCAGCAAGUCUCGCAAGAGACCCAAGGCGACGGAAAGUGGAACAGAAAAUACACCGCCGAUGGCCCGACUUUGACGCCGCAAGGUGACAAAGUCCCCCUCCUGUAGAGGAGGGGACAGGGAUCAGGUAAGGUUGAAAUGGCGGCUCGUCGCAAGGCGGGCCGGCGGCGCAAGCGUCGCCGAGGUAAGAGCUCACCGCGUUCGUGGUAACACGGACGGCACGCAAAACCCCAUCCGGGGCAAGGCCAAAUAGGGGAGCAUGGGCGUGGCCCGCGCUGCUCCCGGGUAGGCUGCUAGAGGCCGCCGGCAACGGCGGUCCCAGAGGAAUGGCUGCCCACGACAGAACCCGGCUUAUCGGCGGACUUCCACC
rnacentral:RNase_P_RNA from 1 species